CAGUCGCCGCGGGAAAACGUAGGUGGCAAGCGUUGUCCGGAAUUAUUGGGCGUAAAGGGCUCGCAGGCGGUUUCUUAAGUCUGAUGUGAAAGCCCCCGGCUCAACCGGGGAGGGUCAUUGGAAACUGGGAAACUUGAGUGCAGAAGAGGAGAGUGGAAUUCCACGUGUAGCGGUGAAAUGCGUAGAGAUGUGGAGGAACACCAGUGGCGAAGGCGACUCUCUGGUCUGUAACUGACGCUGAGGAGCGAAAGCGUGGGGAGCGAACAGGAUUAGAUACCCGUGUAGUCCCUGUCUCUUAUAC
rnacentral:rRNA from 1 species